rnacentral:rRNA from 1 species
UUAUCUCUGUAGAGUCUGCAUAUCAAUAAGCGGAGGAAAAAGAAAACUAACUAGGAUUCCCUUAGUAAACGGCGAGUGAAGCGGGAAGAGCUCAAAAUUUUGAAAAUCUUCAAGGUUUUUUACCUUGGACGAAUUGUAGUUUUAAAGAAGUGUUUUUUUCUGUUUGGUGUUUUUGGUAAAAAGUUUCUUUUGGAAUAGGGAACAUCAUAGAGGGUGAGAAAUCCCGUAUUUUGGACCAUUAAUUUUCCAGCUGUUGUGAUACACUUUUCAAAGAGUCGGAUUGUUUUUGGGAAUGCAGUCCCAAAAAUGGGUGGUAAAAUUUUCAUCUAAAGCUAAAAUAUUGGCGAGAGGACCGAUAGCGAAACAAGUUACCGUGAGGGAAAAGAUGAAAAAGAAACUUUGAAAAAGAGAGUUUAAAACAGUACGUGAAAAUUGUCCAAAAAGGGAAGCGUUUUGGACACCAGUGUUUGUUUUUUCUCGAAAAAUCAAUUAAAAAAAAAGUUUGGAUUUUUGUAUUGUUUAAGGACCUUAUCAGCUUACUGUACUCUUUUUCUUGCUUUUUUUUUAAUGCACUUUUUCGUUUUAAACAAGUCAAACAUCAAUUUUCUUUUUGUUUGUAAAAAGAGUCCAUUGGAAGGUGGCUUUUCACUUCGGUGAAAAGUGUUUUUAUAGCCUUUGGCUUCUGCAAUCGGAGAGAUUGAGGUCUGCAGCGUAGAUCCUUCGGGGCUAGAUUACGUAGAUGCUAAGUUUAUAGUUUUUUUUUAUAGGACAACUUGUUUGGACUAUAAUUAAUCAUGUAGCUUACUCGUCUUGCGCUAUUUUUACCUACGCUUAGGAUGUUGAUCUGUAGUGCGUGCGC